rnacentral:lncRNA from 1 species
CGUCAAAGACAGCUUGCCCAGGGAUGGGCUCAGAUUUAUUUUGUUCUGGAAGAGCUUGUCAUCCACAGGAAUGCACCCUUGGGGCACCAGGUGACCGUCUGUUGGAUUUUAGCCUCUAAGCCAGCAGAUGCGUCACUGUUCUCCAGAAGCCUCAUUUGUGUUACUUUUCUCUGCUGCUUUAGGAUCCUGGGCCUGGCCUCGCCAAGGAAGCUCUCUGCUCAAGAUCAUCAGAGAGAGAAAUGUAAAGUAGACCAGACCAAAACACAUUUGUUUAGCUGCCUUCGUAUGCUGCAGUGAAUGCAUUGUUCCGUCUUCAAAGUAUCUGCUACAAGGUUUUUGGUCUAAGCAGAAACUACAGGGAUCCUUUUGGCUCUGAGGGCCACCCAGCAGCACCUAGGAAGUUGCUGGGCUUCAAGACACAAUGAGCUGGAGGUGAGUAACAGGGCUUCAUCUGAGCUUCAAGCCCUUACCACGUGAAGUUCACACUGAUCGGCCAUUUUGUCUGCCCUUCUACUGUUUCCUUACUCCUCCUCCUCACCCUUACCCAAUUUCACAGCGACUUUCCACUCUAAGUAAUUAGUAGAUUCUAGCCACCCUGGUGGUCUAGUGAUUAAGAUUCAG